rnacentral:rRNA from 1 species
UACGGAGGGUGCGAGCGUUGUCCGGAAUCACUGGGCGUAAAGAGCGUGUAGGCGGCUUGGUAGGUCCGCUGUGAAAACUCGAGGCUCAACCUCGAGAUGUCGGCGGAAACCACUUGGCUAGAGUCCGGAAGAGGAGAGUGGAAUUCCUGGUGUAGCGGUGAAAUGCGCAGAUAUCAGGAAGAACACCUAUGGCGAAGGCAGCUCUCUGGGACGGUACUGACGCUGAGACGCGAAAGCGUGGGGAGCGAACAGG